UACGUAGGGUGCAAGCGUUGUCCGGAAUUAUUGGGCGUAAAGAGCUCGUAGGCGGUUUGUCACGUCGGCUGUGAAAACCUGGGGCUCAACCCCGGGCCUGCAGCCGAUACGGGCAAGCUAGAGUUCGGCAGGGGAGACUGGAAUUCCUGGUGUAGCGGUGAAAUGCGCAGAUAUCAGGAGGAACACCGGUGGCGAAGGCGGGUCUCUGGGCCGAUACUGACGCUGAGGAGCGAAAGCAUGGGUAGCGAACAGG
rnacentral:rRNA from 1 species